UGAGGAAUAUUGGUCAAUGGGCGAGAGCCUGAACCAGCCAAGUAGCGUGCAGGAUGACGGCCCUAUGGGUUGUAAACUGCUUUUAUACAGGGAUAAAGUUCGACUAACGUGUCAUCUGUUUUGUCAGGUAACCGUCAUGAAAAAGGGGCCGGGCUAAAACCAG
rnacentral:rRNA from 1 species